rnacentral:rRNA from 1 species
CCUACGGGUGGUAGCAGUGGGGAAUAUUGGACAAUGGGGGCAACCCUGAUCCAGCCAUGCCGCGUGUGUGAAGAAGGCCCUCGGGUUGUAAAGCACUUUCAGUGAGGAAGAACGCCUGGUGGUUAAUACCCAUCAGGAAAGACAUCACUCACAGAAGAAGCACCGGCUAACUCCGUGCCAGCAGCCGCGGUAAUACGGAGGGUGCGAGCGUUAAUCGGAAUUACUGGGCGUAAAGCGCGCGUAGGUGGCUUGAUAAGCCGGUUGUGAAAGCCCCGGGCUCAACCUGGGAACGGCAUCCGGAACUGUCAAGCUAGAGUGCAGGAGAGGAAGGUAGAAUUCCCGGUGUAGCGGUGAAAUGCGUAGAGAUCGGGAGGAAUACCAGUGGCGAAGGCGGCCUUCUGGACUGACACUGACACUGAGGUGCGAAAGCGUGGGUAGCAAACAGGAUUAGAUACCCUGGUAGUC